rnacentral:lncRNA from 1 species
AAGUGCACUUUUUUCAGAGGUAGGAUUGCCUCUCAACAGCCCCACUGAAGGAGCACAAAAAGGUCGGCUAGGUGAUGACGGCGAGUGCCGUGAAAAAAGU